rfam:Aedes albopictus isolate Foshan contig158916, whole genome shotgun sequence.
GGCUCUGUAGCUAAGUCGGUGAAGCACUAGUGUAGCAUAUAAGGGUCGUGAGUUAAAAUCUCACUUGAGCUU